GUGCAGCAGGCGCGAAUACUCCGCAAUGCGGGCAACCGCGACGGGGCUACCCCGAGUGCCGGGCGAAGAGCCCGGCUUUUGCCCGGUCUAAAACGCCGGGCGAAUAAGCGGGGGGCAAGUCUGGUGUCAGCCGCCGCGGUAAUACCAGCUCCGCGAGUGGUCGGGGUGUUUAUUGGGCUUAAAGCGCCCGUAGCCGGCCCGGCAAGUCGCUCCUGAAAUCCCCGGGCUCAACCCGGGGGCGGGGGGCGAUACUGCCGGGCUAGGGGGCGGGAGAGGCCGCCGGUACUCCGGGGGUAGGGGCGAAAUCCGUUAAUCCCCGGAGGACCACCAGUGGCGAAAGCGGGCGGCCAGAACGCGCCCGACGGUGAGGGGCGAAAGCCGGGGGAGCAAAGGGGAUUAGAUACCCCUGUAGUCCCGGCCGUAAACGAUGCGGGCUAGCUGUCGGCCGGGCUUAGGGCCCGGCCGGUGGCGAAGGGAAACCGUUAAGCCCGCCGCCUGGGGAGUACGGCCGCAAGGCUGAAACUCAAAGGAAUUGGCGGGGGAGCAC
rnacentral:rRNA from 1 species